rnacentral:rRNA from 1 species
UACGUAGGGAGCAAGCGUUGUCCGGAAUCAUUGGGCGUAAAGCGCGCGUAGGUGGCCUCGUAAGUCCGCUGUGAAAGUCGAAGGCUCAACCUUUGAAAGCCGGUGGAUACUGUGAGGCUAGAGUACGGAAGAGGCGAGUGGAAUUCCUGGUGUAGCGGUGGAAUGCGCAGAUAUCAGGAGGAACACCAAUAGCGAAGGCAGCUCGCUGGGACGUUACUGACACUGAGGCGCGAAAGCGUGGGGAGCGAACAGG